UUCACUCAUAUUUCCUCAAAUCUCCGAUCGCAGAUGAUGAUGAUGAUGAACGUAGAACGGCGGCGCAGUUGGCGGCAGUGGGCGACGAGGUCGAAUGAUCUCGCUGUGGCCGUUGAUCUCAACGUUGGUCUCCGUCGAAGGAUCUAAAGAUGGCGUCGGCCAAUCUGAACUCUCUCUCUCUCUCUCCUCCAGCACCACUGCUGGUGAACUCUCUCUUUACUUUUUUUUGGGUAAGUAACUCUCUCUUUACUUGCUCUACUCUUCCUCCGUCGUCAAUGCCGACGAAGCUCCGACUUCCUAAGGUUUCUUCGUCUUCAAAACCCUAACCCUACCUUUACAUUUGCUUCGAUCAAAACCAGAGCCGAGACCUUGGCCAAAUUUCAGAAACCAGAAAUCAGAUUAAUGUCUUAAAUACGGCGAUGCCAAAGAUAUCGAACAACUCCUGAAAUACGGCGAGCGAUUGAGCGAGGUCAAAAACAAGUCUCAGAUGAUUACCGAAGCAUCAUUAGGCGGUCAAAAGCAAGAGCAUUAAGGCGAAGCAGUUAUCUGCACAACUCAUUUCUAGAUUCUUCAAAUUCUUCCCAGAGCUCUCGGACUUGGUUGUCGAUUCCCAUAUCGAUUUGUGCGAGGCAGAGGAGCUUGGGAUCUGUCCCAAAAUCACAUAUCGAUGUUGAAUCUGUGGAAGAUCUGCAAGAUUAGUAUUGAAGAUGGAGGCGAUGAGGUGGUUGAGGCACCAUCUGUUGAAAAACAACAGAUCUGUGGUUGUUAUUAUUAUUAAUUUUGUUAUUGUGAUGUGAAAUCAAUUUUUUUUAAUGUAAGUUUAG